rnacentral:sRNA from 1 species
GAGGAAAAGAACAAAUCACCUGCUGCAGUAACAGAACCAGAGACAAAUAAAUUUGAUAGUACCGGAUAUGAUAAAGACUUAGUAGAAGCUUUGGAAAGAGAUAUAAUUUCCCAGAAUCCCAAUGUUCGAUGGGAUGAUAUCGCUGAUUUAGUAGAAGCUAAAAAGUUGCUUAAGGAAGCUGUAGUGUUACCAAUGUGGAUGCCCGAAUUCUUUAAGGGCAUUAGGAGACCAUGGAAAAACAAUGGCAGAUAAAUCCUCUGCUGAGGCUAUUAUAUUUGCAACAGGGAGUACUGAUGGUCGGCCCACCUGGCACAGGGAAGACGCUCCUUGCUAAAGCAGUAGCUACAGAAUGCAAGACAACAUUCUUCAAUGUCUCUUCAUCAACUUUGACUUCCAAAUACAGAGGAGAAUCUGAGAAGCUUGUUCGUCUUCUGUUUGAAAUGGCUCGAUUUUAUUCUCCAGCCACCAUAUUUAUUGAUGAGAUAGACUCCAUCUGUAGUCGCCGAGGGACUUCUGAAGAACAUGAAGCAAGCAGAAGGGUGAAAGCGGAGCUGCUGGUUCAGAUGGAUGGUGUUGGAGGUGCUUCUGAAAAUGAUGACCCUUCCAAAAUGGUUAUGGUUCUGGCAGCUACUAAUUUUCCCUGGGAUAUAGAUGAGGCUUUAAGACGACGCCUUGAGAAACGAAUCUAUAUUCCUUUGCCAUCAGCAAAAGGCAGGGAGGAGCUAUUACGAAUAAGUCUACGUGAGCUGGAAUUGGCUGAUGAUG